rnacentral:lncRNA from 1 species
UAUGCCCUGUACCUUCAACAGGCAAUUCAUCGUCAGAAAAGCUGAUUCGAUUGACCUCAAAGAUUUUUCCAACUAUUUUCUCAAGUUGGUUGAUUGUAAUCUCCCUUGGAACAUAUGCUUCAUUUAAUACCUUCAGUAAAACAUCACGAUGCUCCUUGGAGUGCAACAACAAAGAUAAAAGGGAAAUUUGAGCAGGGGUUUUCUUCAACUGGUCUAAUAUUGAAUACUCUGGCAAUUUCAUCUUUUUCAAAAAUUCUUCGGCUUCUUCUUCGGUGAUAGGCUUUUUGAUAGAUGACG